UGCUUUUUUAUGCUGUAUUUUCAGAUCAAUUUUAUCCCAGUUAAUGUGAAUAUAAACUCUGAUUGUUAUGGCUAUCUCUCGUGGGGUGUCUAUUAUUUUGUCAGAAAUUGUAUCAGGAACUUUAUAUCAAUCACUAAAUUACACAUUUCCAAGCUGCAUAUGAAUUAGGUAUUACUAUGAUCAUUUUACAGAUGAAGAAGAUGAGACUCAGAGCAAUACAUAAGUUGCCCAAGGUCAGAGAGCAAUGACCAUAUCAGAGCACAGUGUACUCCUCUUGCCGUAUUCAGAGGAUUUGCCUAUGGGCAGCAACAUUAUUCUCUCGUUCUCUGGAUAUUAGGAACAAUAUCACAGGACCGGCGGACAGCCCCAGUCAUAUCUGAAAAUAUCACAGCACGGUGUACUCCUCUUGCCGUAUUCAGAGGAUUUGCCUAUGGGCAGAAACAUUCCCCUCUCCUUCUCUGGAUAUUAGAAACAUUAUCACAGGACCGGCAAACAGCCGCAGUCAUAUCGUGAGUAAUGUCAUCUGUAAUCCCCUAGUUAUAAAAAACAACAUCAAGGGGGUCUUGUGCACUUUAUGAGAUACUUAGAGUAAUGUUAGGAUUUGGGUAAUUUACAUGAGGGAGAAUAUUGAGUUGGUGUAUACACUCCAAAACACAGUAGAAAAGGGCAUUGUAUAUUUUUUCUGACAGAUUAUAUUGAGAGCAAUUUUGCUUUUAACAUUGGGGUACCUAGAUAAUAUUUAGAUUUUUUUCGAUUAGCGUAAAUUUAGAAUUUCAGUAUUUUACACAAGAGAGCAUAAU